UUAUCUUCUCUUUCUACAGUUGGUGCAUAAUCAUCAUCAUCUCUGUGUUUCUGCUGUAUAUCACAGGUGCUUCCUCUGCUCCUGUGAGGGUAAAAGUUGAGGGUUUUGUUGGAGACUCGGCUAUCUUGUCUUGUUCGAUCACUGAAAGUGAGAUUCUAGACAAAAUAGAAGAAUUCAAUGUACACUUCAGAGACGAUGAAGGCAAGAAAGUGUGUGACAUCAUUGGAGGCAGCAUAGCUGAAGACCAAGAGCCAAAGUACAAGGACAGAGUCGAAACGUUCCCAGAGGAGUAUAAGAAGGGCAACUUCUCCAUCAAACUCAGCAGUCUUCAACAAACUGAUGCAAGGAAGUACCACUGUUUCAUCACAAGGGACACAUCACACGACACAUUUCAGAAAGAGGUCAUCACAGAGCUUCAUGUCAGAGAUAGACCAGGAGGAAGAGGCAACCACGGAGGACUAAAUGGAGAACUACC